UCUGUUGAAGUAGUCCGUAUUUUUUUUAAAUAAAAGCAAUAAUUAAAUGUAGUGUUUAAGAGUUGUAUUCAUUGCUUUCAGUUUAAAUUGAUUGCCAGUGAAGUGUAUUAUUGCAAACAUAAUUACGAUUCCCAAGAGCUAAGUCAUAAAUUUUAACUACUAAAUAAGAUUACUACGCGAUCUAUUUGCAGCGGACUUAAACGUACCACUUUUUAAGUAUGUAAACCGUCCAUAUACAUCCGAGGUUGUUUUUGAAAAAAUGGCCGAGGAGCUCCGAAUGGGAUAAUUACGAAUCAGUUCGCCAUUUGACUAGUUCCUGUUCGAUUUUGCAAUAGAAGAUAAAGGUUGGUAAUCUUCUAAUAUGUGAGGCUUUGAAAAUAUAUGGCAAAUUAAAACCAGAGAUUUUUUUAAAUAACGCUUUUAGAAAAAAAUAUCAUAAAUGCACGGUUAUUGAGAAAACUUCUCUUUUUUAUUUAAAUAUUUUUACAACAAAGAACAAACCACGAAUGCGCAGAAUGUAUCUUACAAUAAUCUUAGAAAAUCGGUGAACCAGUCUAUUAUCUGAUGACCCGGUUAUGACACGGGUCAGAUGCAAGCGUCCAGUAGACUAGGGAUAUCGAGGUCAACACGCUGGCGGUUGGGAAAAGGUAUUAUCAUGUUCUUUUUUACGUAGUGAACUGAAAAACUAUUGUUAUUUUAUAUUUAUAAUUUUAAAAGUAGGUUUCGUGUCCUGCGAUUUAAACAGUAGCACGUUUUUUGCGGUAUUUCUACUUUCAUUUUGGACAACUUUUGAAGGCUUUCCCAAAUUGCGUCAUUAAAACCAGGGAUGACAGCCGUCCAUUGAAAACGAUUCUUGCAUUUCAGACAUAGGCGAGUGUGCGGUCAAGGUCAAAAUUGCGAGAGGGUGAUUCGAAGUGAAAUACUGCAACAAAAAACGUUCGAUUUGGACAUUUACGCGUCUAACUCAAUGAGUCAAAAUGUUUCUACCACAAGAGUUGUUAUAUAUUGAACAGAUAGGGCUUCAAGAUGACAAAAAAAGCACCAACAAUAAUGGGCCAGGACUGAGGAGUUCCAAGAAAUGAGUAUUCUUCAGCCCACAAAUAUCAGUGCUGCCCCACUGCCCAAAACCAGAGUGUGGCAACAACUAAAUGGACCCUGACAAAUGUCCUCUAUGUUAGAGCCAGUCCCUUACCCAAGUGACCUACUAUUGCACAGCUGAGGUUGUUAUCAAACGCAGCAGUAGGUAUGAAAUGCGGAAACUGUUCCAACUUUAUCAUCAACAGUUGAGUUACACCUCGUCACAAUACCUGAACUGAAAACAAUCGGUGACGAUACUGCACUUCACUUCUACCUCACAGUGCUCUUCCCUAUAAACGCUAGAGUAAAGUUUGCAAAUGGAAAACUUGUCAUUGCAAGCGUGAAAAGACCAAUUGAUUCUUAACAAAACAACCUGCCUCAAUGCUUUAGCUGACACUACAUCAAAUCAACACAAGGCAAUUUGUUUUUCUCGCAACCUGACCGCUCAACUAUUUGAAGAAUGAGGUGGGCUAUACUAUUAGCCCUGGCGUCGCUUUCCGGAUAAAGUUUUAGGGUAAGUUAGGAUUUUCACUUUGAAGUCCAAUACCCUUCAUUCAAUUGACUUAAUACGUCACACAGUUGUUCAGGGCAAUCAUAUAAUGGGAAAAGAUAACUCCUUUAUACAAGCUAUGGCCCCUGAUUGACUAUCGAAUUUACGUUAAAGUUUUAGGGCAGGUUGGGAUAUUUAUUAAUAACUUCUAUACCAUUCGUUCAUUUAACUUAAUACUUCACACAUUUGUUCAGGACCAUCACACAAUGAGGUUACAUAACUCUGUAUUAUCUUUAAUACAAGUUAUAGACCCUGAUUGACUUAGGUUAAAGGUUUAGGGCAGGUUCAAGUUUUAGAACAAGUAGGGAUUUUCACUUAUAAGUCCAAUACCCUUCAUUCCGUUGACUUAAUACUUAACACAGUUGUUCAGUUCCAUCACAUUAUGAGGUAAGAUAACUCCAUGUCAUAUUUUAUACAAAUAAUGGCCCCUGAUUGACUAUGAAACUUAGGUUAAAAUUUUAGGGCAGGUUGGGAUAUUUAUUGAUAACUUCUAUACCCUUCAUUGAAUUGACUUAAUACUUCACACAACUGUUCAGGACCAUCACACAAUGAGGUUACAUAACUCUAUAUUAUCCUUAAUACAAGUUAUGGCCCCUGAAUGACUUAGGUUAACGUUUUAGGGCAAGUUAAAGUUUUAGGGCAAGUUGGGAUUUUAAUAAAAAAAACUUCUAUACCUUCAUUCAAUGCACUUAAUACUUCGCAGAAUUAUUGACAACCAUCUUACAACAAGGAACAUAACUUCAUGUUAGCCUAAAUACAAAUUAUUGCCCUUGAAUGUUUUUUUUUAAUCUUUUUUUAAUUUCUUUUGAAAGGCACAUUUUUAUAUUCCUAACCACAUUUUCAUAAAGGGAAAAUUAUUUAUUAGAAUGACCUGUGUCACUGUUCGGAUGGGCUGGUGUUAGGACAGUGUCAAAGUCACCUUAUGUAUCGAAUAAUUUAGCUAGGUUUGACAUAAAGAGACCAAACUUGGUAUAUGCAAAGAGUUUAAGGAGACCUUUUUUGGGGAAUGCGUUUGAGGCCCCUAUGAUCAAGGUCAAGGUUGCUAUUAUUAAAAAAAGGGUUGUUUUUGAAUAACUUUUUCAUAAGUAAGGUUCUUCAUAUUGGUACCAAAUUUGGUAUAUAUGAAGAGUUUAUAGAGACCUUUCCUGAGAUUGUGUUUUUGACCCCGAGAGGUCAAAAUAGAAAUAUGGUAAGUACUGAAUAACUCAAGUAAGGGUUGACAUGGUAACUUAGUUUAUGGGGCAUGUUUAUGCAGAGCUUUAAUGGAUGCUUUUUGGCCCCCUAGGGUCGAGGCUACUGUUACUAAAAAUAGAUUACUGUUUCAGUUAAGGAUAACAGUUAAGGCUGGCAUACUGUGACCAGACUUGAUAUAUGCAGGAAGAGCUUAUAGCGCGGUCACGAGUAUGAGGACAACAUUUGUACCAAGUAAUAUGGUAAUCCAUCAAUGCAUAAGUAAGUUAUAGCACGGACACGAAAUGUUACAGCCAGACGGACAGACAGACUGACGAAGUGUUUCUAUAAUCCGCCAAUAAUCCCCACCCCACUCCGUGGCGGGGGAUUUGAGAUUUGAUAUUUAUAAAAUAGUGUACUUCCAUUUUUGCCAUUGUUGUGUUUUACCAAUAUGUUCAGUUACAGUUGUGCCAAUAUCUUAAAGUCACCAUAUAUGACUUUACAGAAUCUUUACAUUAUUUAAUUACUUCAUCAUAAUGAUUACUUAUCUUCCUAUUGUUUUCUUAAAUGUUCUGCAAUUUCAAUAAUUAUUUCCAAAACAUAUUCCUAAAAUCAGAGACAUUUGACAGUAUUAUAAGACUUCUCUCUCAAGGUUUUGUCUAUCUGAACACUGAUGUUGACAUAAUGCUCUGUGCAUAUCACUAUGCUUUUGCUAAGUUUAAUUCCAAAUAAUGUUUAAUUUAAUGUCUUAUAUGUACAUAUAUAAUAUUUAACAAUGUUCUGUUUUUCAACAUCUUAAACAGUUACAAAAUGUGAAUUUACAAGAAAUACUUGUAUUUAUAUCACUAUGUCAUUUUGCCAUGUCACCCUUCUUUACUACCUAUUUUGCUUAAAGCUGCACUCUCACAGAUUUACCAUUUUUACAACUUUUUUUUAUUGUUUGUCUUGGAACGUGCAAAUUUUGUGUAUAUAUCCGCAAACAAAUGAUUUAAGAUUACUGACAAAAGAUCAAAUCACAGAUUUUUAUAUUUCCUUUUGAAAAUUAAUGUCUUAUGGCUUAAGCUGUUACUAACAGUUUAAGAAAAUUGCAUAAAACAAUUUUUGAACUUAAGUAUAAAAAUCUGCAAUCUUUUUUUGUCAGCAGUCUUAUAUAACUGGUUUCAAUGGAUUUUCGCCAAAUAUGGCUCCUUUCAAGUCAAAAAAUAAAAAAAGUGUGUCAAAACGUUCAAUCUGUCUCUUUUAUAGGCACUGACUCUCCAUUUACAAACAUUAGAAUUCAUAAUGCUUAAAAAUGAAUGCCUGUUUCAACUUCUCAUCUAACCCUGCUUUUUUUGGCAUGACCGUUAACCAUUCCAUUGUGUGUUGUUGUUUUUCAUUUUCUAGAUUUAUGGGUUUUCAAACUUUAAAAAAUAAUGGCAUUUUGGCUAUCAACCAUAUCAGCAAUGCUUAUACUGUCUGAUAAUAUAAAACUCCAGGCAUAUCAUUUAUAGUUUUGGGUCUGACAACUUCAAACUUUUAAGUUAGUAAAUCAUUUAACAAAUAUACUUAUUUUCAACCCAAUUAAUUCCAACAUAACAACUGAAACUAAGUCAAUUAAGCCCCCCCCCCCAUGUAAAAGAUAUUUAUCACCCUAUAAAUAGUAACAUUCAAAUACUGUGCAUUUCCUUACUAGGUACAUAUUACUAGGUUUUCAUGUAUUUUCAUUUUUCUUUCCUUUCAUGCCUGUUCUAUUGCAUUGCCUAUGUCUUCUUGUACAUUGUGAAUACUUCAGUGAAAUAGUGGCAGCAUGUAUUUUAGUAUUGUGUUAAUUUGUCUGUGUGCAUUCUUAUUCCAUGUAUUGGUCAUAAUGUAUAUGUCGAACUUACACCAAAUUAUAACAAAUAUUCUUUCUAUUGUUUAUUACAUUUUAGUACAACUCUACCAUUCCCAACAUACAUACUAACUCUGUUGUAUUUUUUGUUAUCAUGCUUUUUACUCUUUGUUGUAUACAAAAUGUAUAUAAAAUGUCAUAUUGCUCAUGUUCUUUCUUGUUUGUACAUAUGUUCACAUUUCAAUAAUACUCAAUGCAGUAUUUAUUCUUAUAUUUCAAUGUCAUAUUUUAAAGAAUUGAGAAGUUCUACAGGCGAAAUAACAUUAACACAUAGUCUUCCACUAAACUUUGUACAAAUGCUUCAUUUUCAUGUAUUAAAACAUAUUCCUCACUUCAUUUCAUUGUAACCUAUAAUUUUCAGCACUUUCUUCAUAAAUCUUUUGCGUCAUUAUAUUUCCACACACAUUAAGUGAUCACCUUCCUAGUCAUACCACUAUCAACCUGCAUCACAUUCUUCUCAUCAUCUGCUUAUAUCUUAUGCCUUAAAAGUGCAUAAUGCAUGUUGAUUACAUAAUGUUAUUACCUAUAAAUGUCCUUAUAUGCAAAACUUGUUUCCUUUGGAAAACUUAAAACUGUCUUGACCUAAACUUUACCUUCCUGUUGUAUCAUUGUAUUCCUAUUGAGUCAUUGCCUUUCUUUUGUUUUAAAAUGUUCAUACUUCUAUUACAUGUGACUUGAGUGUUGACAAAAAUGUUAAUUUCCAUUUCAGAACCGUAUACAUUUCUUUUCAAUAUCUUAAAAAUACUUCUUGUAAUAUCUUCUCUUUAGAUUUAAACAAUACUGUCAUUUUGGCUAUUACCAAUACCAACAAUGCAAAUACUGAUAGUGUAUUAUGUAUAUUAUAUGUUCUUAAGUAUGUUCAAAAUACUUGUGUGUAAUAAUAAUAUAGUGUAUUAUGUAUGUUCUGUAUAUUAUAUGUUCUUAAGUAUGUUCCAAAGCUUAUAAUAUGAUUAUUUUUCAAUCACUGUUUUCUAAGUCAUUGCUCUGUGUCCACAUACUUUUAAAUCACUAUUUAUGUUAUUUUAUUCUUAAGAGCAUGUUCAUUUCAGGAUCAGGGUGGGGUUUUUUCACACUUAGUACCAUGUACACGUUGCACAUUUCUUAGAACAGCUUUCUUGUUCCAUCCUGCAUGCCUAUAAAUCAUCUAGCCACAGAACAAGGAAAAUGACAUUAAUAAUGAUGGUCACAUUUCUUUCUUUCAGCUCAUGGAUAACCGACUUCUUUUAGUUUAUGUUAAAUGUAUUUUUUUAAUUGUGUUGAAACCUGUUUCAUAAGCAAACAGUUUUAUGUGUGUUUCAGUUAGAAACAAUGACUUUGUAACACUUAAUUAUACCGGUCAACUUUUUUUCGCGGAUUAUUACCCAAAAAAUAAACAUUGUUUAAAGCAGCAUGUCAUUAAUUAGUUUUUUGGAUAAACAUUUGGUGCUACUCUUGUUUAAAGUCAACAUUUCACCAAAGUACAAAUUCUCAACGUUUCAAACUUUGCCCAGAAUUUACCAAAUCAUGUUGGCAUAUUUAAAAUUUCAGCUAUCAUAUCAGCCACUCCAAAAGAAAACCACCACUGUGACCAUGUUGUAUUUUAUAAAUGUGUGUGUAUAUAGAUACAGUUCAUGAAUAAAGUUAUUUG